UGUUGGGGCUGGUAAAGCUGGGCUAGUCCCCAGACAGUCCUGUGUGAGCUGCCUCCCCACCCCCGCCCAUCCCGCUAUAGGGAAGCCCCGCUUAACCCCCUGAGAGGUGGACCAGGCCGCAGGACAGCAAGGAGCCACCGUGCAGGGCGAAGCCCAGGCCGCCUGCGCAUCCACCCCCAGGCCGGCCCUUCUCCUCCCCUCAGAGCCAAUCAGAGCAGCAGAGGAGGCUCCAGCAGCAGACACAGCGGCAUCAAAUCUGUGCUCAACUAAAAAUGACUCUCCAGGAGGAAACCUGUCCCAUAGCAGGACAGGGAUAAAGGGAAGAGCCUAGAAGGGGAACAAGCUGAAAUGGACCGCAUCACCUGAAAACUCAGCACUGGGGAGCCAAGCUCUAUCCCUCUGAUGGACGAGGGCGGAAACCAGCUCUAUCUGUUGGGGAGGACUGGACUCCACAGCCCAAGUUGGUUCCCACCUGCCCCUCCCCUCCCCCUUUCCCGUGUCACUGUCCCCAUCUUCUUCUCUCCCUCCAUCUUCUUUAGAGACCUUUUGACACCCAAAACUGGUGGUGGCAGCCCCUCCCAUGCCCACCUUGACUGUAACCUGCAUCGUCUUUUCCAUCUGAUGUCCUUGGACGAGAUUUCCUCCAUAUUUCUCUCCAGCACCGCCCAACCCACAGCUGCAGCCUCUGCCUCUUCACCAGCCACCACACCACCCCCUAGCUUUUGAAAGAUGUUUUACAGGCAAAAUUUCCCAAGAAUUCUCGAAAAAUAGUAAAUUGCUAGUCACCCAAAGAAUCUAGGAAAUUUUCUUCGGCUCUUUGAUAGAAAAAAUUUUACUGCCACAGUCAAAUCAUUUGCUUGCUUCUCAUUUUUCUCCUCAUGCUAGAAUAUAAGUGCCCAGAAAGCAGCCCAUUUGUUUGACUUCACUUCUGUGUCCUGGAAGUUGCCUGGCAUAAAGCAGAGCCCAGUACUAUCUGCUGAGGGAUAGAGGAAACUUAUCUUGACUUGGGUCAAGUUCAGUAGCCCCGUGCAUUUGAGACUACAUCACUCAUUUGAGACGUCGCUCUCCACACAAAAUGUGGUGAUGCAAUA